UCCCUGGUGGUCCAAUGGUUAGGACUUUGCGCUAUCACUGCCGAGGGCCCAGGUUCAAUCCCUGGUCGGGGAA